rnacentral:misc_RNA from 1 species
GCUGACACGCUGUCCUCUGGCGACCCGUCGCUGGAGAGGUCGGGCCUCUGGAUGCGUGGGGGGUCUCUGGUCUACCGGUGACCCGGCUAGCCGGCCCUGCUCUGGGUUGAGCCGCCGGCUGGGGCCCGUGUGCCUUGCCUCCCGUGCAUCCGUCUGAGUGUCCCGGCUCCCUGGUGCCGCCCUGGGCCCGGGUCUCUUCCGACUCACCUGGGUGUGGCGGGGAAAGGCCGGUGCGGGCGGGCGGGCUCCCGUCUGCCUGCGUGUGCGCUCCCUGCUGCGGGCACCUGGGGCGGUCGCGACGACCCCGUUCCGUUGGCUCCGUGCCGUGCGUGUCAGGCGUCCUCCUCUCCUCUGGGGUUGUCCGCCGUCCCUUCCCCGGAGCGGGGCUGGCCGGCCUCGGGCCCGUGGGCUCCGUGGCUUUGCUGAGGUUGACUCCUUCGCCCCGCUCUGGGUCUCUUCCGAUCGAUGUGGUGACGUCACGCUCUCCCGGGCCGCGACCGAUCCGCGGUGGGCGAGGGACGGACAUUCUCGGUGAAUGGGACCGCUCUUCUCGUCCCGCCCGCGGGGGCCCCCUUGCCUCUCCUGCACCCUGCCUGUGGGGUCUGGAUCGGGAGGUGUAGGGGGUACGGAAUCCGGCCCGACCUCGCCGUGCUCCCCCGUUCUCCGCCUGGCGGGGGCCGGUGGGGUCCUCUGACGCGGCAGGCAUCCCUCGCUCUCGCCUCCUGUGGUUGUUGCCUUGUCGGGGGCGGCCCCUCUCCGCGGCGGUGGGGGGCUCGUCCCGAUGGCCCGUCGUGCUGCCCUCGCCGGGGUGGUGCGAGCGUUGGCUCGGCUUGGGCCUUUUGCGGUGCUCCUGGAGCGCUCCGGGUUGUCCCUCAGGUGCCCGAGGCCGAGCGGUGGUGUCGUUCCCGCCCCCGGGGCCCCCUCCUCCGGUUGCCGCCAUGGGGUCUGCGUGUGGGUCCCGAGGAGAAGCGCUCAGCUCGUCGGAGGGUUGUCGUCGAGGCGAUCGAUCGAGGUUUUGUGCCCCUCGACGCGGGGUUGAGGGGGUGCCUCGGGUUCCGCUCCUCUCGCCGUAGACCUCAUCCCUCCCUUCCCUGGGUGUCCCUGAGCGCCUCCGUGGGCGGCCCGGCGAGGGGCGACCGGUGGGUGGGGGAGUGUGACCCGCCCUCGGUGAGAAAGCCUUCUCUAGCGAUCCCAGAGGUGUGCUUUGGGGGUACCGGACUCCCCCGGCCCGCCGCCUCUCUCUGCGUUGUGGUAGCGCUUCCGCGUGGCGAUUGGAUUCGCUCGUGUGUAGGCAGAGUUCCCUCUUCCUCCUCGGUGGCGGGGAGAAGUGGGGUCCGCCGGUCUCCGCGGUGGGGACCGAGCGCCGCUCGUCGCCUACUGUGGCCCGCGCCUCCCCCCUCUGAGUCGGGGGAGGGUCCCGCCGGGCCGGGCCCUGUGUCCUCGCCGUUGGGGAGGUCGUCGCUUGAAGGCUGGGUGCGUGUGGCGUCCCGUCUGGCGCGUGACCCCCUUCCGCUGCGAGCCGGCUCUCCGCCCGCUCCCGUGCCGUGCCGAGCCCUUGCCGGUGCCGGCGACCGCGCUGUGUGCGGGGCGACGGGUCGGGCCGCCUGGGCCCGGGAAAGCGUCCCCACGGUGGGGCGUGCCGGUCUCCCGGAGCGGGACCGGGUCGCGGAUGGACGAGAUCCUGGGUGUGUCGCCCUGGCGUCGGGCUUGUCGCUGUGGUCGCUCCGGGGCCCCCGGCGGUGGGGUCCGGGUCCCGUGAGGGGUCUCCGCGGUGGUGCCGAGGGCCGGCCGGUGUCCCGGGUGGGAGGGCUGCGGGACCGCCCUCGUGUCUGUGGCGGUGGGAUCCCGUGGUCGUGUCUUCCCCGGUGGCCCGGCUGUGCCCGAGGUUCCCGCCCGGGUCCUCGGCGGGCUCCCGUGCCCCUGCCCUCGUGGGCCCCGGCCCUGCGUGUGCGCCCGCUCCCCGCCGCUGCCUGCCGAUCCUUUCUCUCUGAGCGGCUCUCCGGCUGCGCCGGGGCGGCCCCGUCUGGGACCCGAGCCGGCUCCGCCUUGAGGGGCGUCGCCCCCGGCCACCAUCGGCCGGUGUCCGCGUCCCCCCGGCGUGUGCCUCGGCUUCGCGCACCGGCGGCGGUCGGCCCCGCGCGGGCCCGGUGGGCGUCGGAGAGGUCGGGUCGGCCCGCCGCGUGUGUAGGGAAGACGGUUAUGGGGCGCUGGCUGCGACUGCGGUGGCGGUGUUGGGGAGCCGCGGGCCCCCGAGAGGCGUGCGUGGGUCGCCGAAGGCCAGGCGGCCGCUCCGUGUGCCGCGCGGGACCGCCCCUGUGUGCCCAAACGGGCCGCUGGCGGUGAGACCCCGUUGUGUGUCCACGGCUGCUGCGGUCGUCUGUGCCCGAGGCUUCUCCCCGGAUCCUCGCGGUGGCCCGCCGCCCACCCCCUCCCCGCUCGCCGCCUUCCCCGCGCCUUCCACGGUCGCCUCGGGCUUGCCCGGGGUCUCGUCUCCUCCCGAACCCGCUCUCCCGCUCCGCGUCCGCGCGCCCCGGGUGCGCGCCUCGCUUCCCGGGCCCGCCGGGGCCCCUCCCCGAGGCGUCUUGGGUGUCGACGUCCGGGGGCGGCGGCGUGUCCUUCCCCCGCGUUGCGGGUCCCGUUCGGCGCGUGCGUGCGCCCGAGCGCGCCCCGGUGGUCUCUCCCGGCCAGCCGUCGUGUGUAAGUAAGGUCGACCUCCGGCCUGCCGGCCGCCCGCCCCCCGGUUCGAGGGGGGGGCCCGGGCCGGGACCUCCGGUCCCGGUCCCGGUCCCUCGUUCCGGGUCGGUGGGUCGGCCGGACGGCUUCCGUCGCCUUCUGGCCGUCGUUGUGGGUCGGGGCGGUGCCGGUCACCGGCCCCCCUCCCCUCCUGCGCCUGCGCCCGCCGGCGUGGCCCGGGGUCUGGCCUCGGCCGGCACCCGGACCUCGACCGGGCGGGCGCGCGGGCGCUGCGGCCGCACGGCGUGACUGUCCCCCGGGUCGGGCACCCCGGGCCGCCUCCCGCUCGCCGCCCGAACGCCGGGGCCCCGCCCCGCGGGGUGUGGGUAUCGCCGCGCCCCCUCGCCGCCCCCCACUGCGUCUUCCGCGCGCGUGGCCGCCGACCCCCUCCUGGCUGCCCGGCACAAAACGGGUCGGGCGUUCUGCCCUCCACUCGCACGCGGUUGUGGAGAGAGGCGGGGGUGGGGUGUGGGGUUGGUGGUGGUGGUGGUGGUGGUGGAGGUGGAGGUGAUGGGGCGCGUGCGGUGUGCGCGUGGGACUCGUUCCCCGCGCUCCCGCGCCCGCCUCUCUCCCUCCGCCCUUCCUCCGCCCCGCCCCGCCCCGCCCCGCCCCACCCCACCCCGCCUGGUCCCGCGCCUGCCGGCUACGGGCGGGGACGAUGGCGUUCGCGCCGCCCGCACCCUCCUCCGUCCGCGGUCCGUCCCUCCCUCCCUCUCGUGCCCCCGGACGCCGGGUCCGCCGCCCUCGCGGCCUACCUCGCC